UGGCGGCGUGCCUAAUACAUGCAAGUCGAGCGGACAGAUGGGAGCUUGCUCCCUGAUGUUAGCGGCGGACGGGUGAGUAACACGUGGGUAACCUGCCUGUAAGACUGGGAUAACUCCGGGAAACCGGGGCUAAUACCGGAUGGUUGUCUGAACCGCAUGGUUCAGACAUAAAAGGUGGCUUCGGCUACCACUUACAGAUGGACCCGCGGCGCAUUAGCUAGUUGGUGAGGUAACGGCUCACCAAGGCGACGAUGCGUAGCCGACCUGAGAGGGUGAUCGGCCACACUGGGACUGAGACACGGCCCAGACUCCUACGGGAGGCAGCAGUAGGGAAUCUUCCGCAAUGGACGAAAGUCUGACGGAGCAACGCCGCGUGAGUGAUGAAGGUUUUCGGAUCGUAAAGCUCUGUUGUUAGGGAAGAACAAGUGCCGUUCAAAUAGGGCGGCACCUUGACGGUACCUAACCAGAAAGCCACGGCUAACUACGUGCCAGCA
rnacentral:rRNA from 1 species